rnacentral:rRNA from 1 species
UACGUAGGUGGCAAGCGUUGUCCGGAUUUACUGGGCGUAAAGAGCGCGCAGGCGGUCGUUCAAGUCGCGUGUGAAAGCCCCCGGCUCAACUGGGGAGGGUCACGCGAUACUGAUCGACUCGAAGGCAGGAGAGGGAAGUGGAAUUCCCGGUGUAGUGGUGAAAUGCGUAGAUAUCGUAAGGAAGACCAGUGGCGAAGGCGGGUCUCUGGACAGUUCCUGACACUGAGACACGAAGGCCAGGGGAGCAAACGGG